GACGAACGCUGGCGGCGUGCUUAACACAUGCAAGUCGAACGGUGAAGCGCCUUCCUUUUUGGUGGGUGUGGAUGAGUGGCGAACGGGUGAGUAACACGUGAGUAACCUGCCCCCUUCUUCUGGAUAACCGCAUGAAAGUGUGGCUAAUACGGGAUAUUCUGGGUCUGUCGCAUGAUGGGUCUGGGAAAGAUAUUGUUUCGGUGGGGGAUGGGCUCGCGGCCUAUCAGCUUGUUGGUGGGGUGAUGGCCUACCAAGGCGGUGACGGGUAGCCGGCCUGAGAGGGUGGGCGGUAACACUAGGACUGAGACACGGCCCAGACUACUACGGGAGGCAGCAGAGGAGAAUAUUGCACAGUGGGCGCAAGACUGGUGCAGCGACGCAGGGGGAGGGAUGGAGGCCUUCGGGUUGUGAACUUCUUUCGCCAGUAGAGCAGGCCUACCUCGUUUAUGGGUGGGUUGACGGUAGCUGGAGAAGAAGCGCCGGCUAACUACGUG
rnacentral:rRNA from 1 species